UAUGAUAUUUAACUGCCUUGUAGUUAGGUAAAAGAUGCCUAAUAAUCCUAUUUUUAGGGAAAGAAAUGUUAAUUUCGCUUUAAGAUGUUUAUAUCUUGGGUCGUAGUAGUUGAGGUCUAGUCUUAACUAGCAUAAGUACCCCUAGCCAAGACUGAAAGGUCGAUUGGUCACAGUGUGGCAUGAACAAAGCCCACGGUUUUUAUCACAGCAGUGAGGAAUAUUGGUCAAUAGCCUAACGGCUGAACCAGCAACUUGGAAGAAUGAAGAGCGAAAGCUCUUUGUAUGUAUAAUACAAAAUCAACUCAGUUGAUUAUAGUUCUAGGUAAAGAGAUGAUAAUGACAUUUUUUACCUAUGUGUCUUGACAAAUUCUCGUGCCAGCAGUCGCGGUAAUACGAGUAAGACUAGUGUUAUUCAUCUUUAAUAGGUUUAAAGGGUACCUAGACGGUUAAUCAAGCCUGCAAAGGGACUAGUUAACUAGAGUUUAAUGUGAGAAAGAUGUGAAUAGAGGAGUGUAGAGAUGAAAUUCUGUGAUACCCUUUGGACAGGUAACGGCGAAAGCAACUUUUUAUGUAAAAACUGACGUUGAGGGACGAAGGCUCGAAAUCAACAAACAGGAUUAGAUACCCUAGUAAUCCGGGCAGACAAUGAUGAAUGUCAUAGAUAAGAUUAAGCUAUCUAAAGAAAAUUCCCCUUUUUCUUAGAUAUUUUUUGUCUAUAAAUGAAAGUGUAAGCAUUCCACCUCAAGAGUAAUAUGGCAACAUAUAAACUGAAAUCAUUAGACCGUUUCUGAAACCAGUAGUGAAGUAUGUUGUUUAAUUUGAUGAUCCACGGAAAACCUUACCACAAUUUGAAUAUUUUUCUAUUACUGAAAAUUACAGGAGUUGCACGGCUGUCUUCAGUUAAUGUCGUGAGAUUUUGGUUAGUUCCAUUAAAUUAACGUAAGCCCUUAUUUUAUUUUAAAAAUAAAGUAGUUCGCCACUAUA
rnacentral:rRNA from 1 species